GAAAUUCUCUGAGUGGGUCAAAUGGGGACUGGAAAAAUUCCACCCACUAGCUCAGCUAAUGGGUAAAAAUGCUGGACAUUUAUCUGGAGCUGCAGGGGGUAAAGUGUCAUCCUUGGGAAAUUCAAAGCUGGCCUGUACCUGCUGAGAGCACCAGGGAUAUGGUCACAUUGCAAGCCUGUUGCCAGCACCCCAGGCAGAGUCAUCAACAAUUACUUUGGAGGAGGGCCACUUCCACCUUCCAGGGCAUAGGUGACCCCUGUGGAAAACAAGUACCCCUGGAACAUCCUAGAAGUGGAGGCCACUGGAAUGAGAAUGCAGUAAAACAGCUUGCCUCAGAGUGGUCUUCCCUGGAACACACAGCUUCUGUUAAGCAUUCAUGAUUCUGACGGGCCAGUCAUCCCUUCAUUGACUUUGUCCAGCAGCUCCACCAUUACAGUCUCAUUUUAGAAAAUAAAGACACUUGGAAACAAAUUGAAAGGGCGUUUUCCUGCACCAACCCCAUUUGACUUGCCUCAGCAUGCUGAAUGGAGGGCUGCACUCCCC
rnacentral:lncRNA from 1 species